ensembl:snoRNA SNORD57 small nucleolar RNA, C/D box 57
UGUGAAUGAUGACAAGCUUUUCCCCGACCUCAAUGUGGGGGUAUAAAAUGAUUUAAUGAGCCUGAUGC